rnacentral:lncRNA from 1 species
UUGAAAUGAAGCGGCGGAGGGAGGCGGAGAUAUCAUCAGAGAUAAGGUCAGCCAUUCAAGAGCUGUCGGCUGCUUCGGAGAGAGACGUCGUUAAACCUACGGCGGAGAGAGACAGCGUUAAACCUGCAGCGGAGACAGAAGGCGUUAAACCUGCGGCGGAGAGAUGUGGAGAUGAUCUUCAAACGACACUGCAAAUUCCCAUCAAACCAUUUCUCUCUCUGUGCAACCUUCUGAUUCAAGUUCUUGGUUCAUCUCUAUCUCUAUUUAUAUAUAUUUGAUUAAUGAUUUGUGUGUUUAUUUUGAAUGAUUAAUUCCUGUAAACAUUUUUUUUUUAAUAAAACAUUG